CCUACGGGUGGCAGCAGUGGGGAAUAUUGCGCAAUGGGCGAAAGCCUGACGCAGCGACGCCGCGUGAGGGAUGAAGGUCUUCGGAGCGGAAACCUCUGUCAGCAGGGAAGAACGGUCACGGUGCUAAGCAGCAGUGAAUUGACGGUACGGGCAAAGGAAGCACCGGCUAACGCCGUGCCAGCAGCCGCGGUAAGACGGAUGGUGCGUGCGUUAAUCGGAAUUACUGGGCGGAAAGCGCUCGUAGGCGGUAUGUCAAGUCAAGGGUGAAAUCCCCGAGCUCAACGUGGGAACUGCCUUUGAAACUGGCAAACUGGAGUGUGUGUGAGGUUAGUGGAAUUCCCGGUGU
rnacentral:rRNA from 1 species